rnacentral:lncRNA from 1 species
UGGCCACUUCGAUCUGUCAAACCGCACAUGGCGUACUACAUCCAGGGUCCGUGUCGUAUCUGCCUGAAAUGUCAGACUGGUGCGGCGGGCCUCCUAUUAUGGAUGUUUCAGUUCCACCGAAUAAUCCGAACGUUGUAGUUAUGCCCUCUUAUAUCCGUGUUCAAGUUCAACCCCCUGUUCUUAACGCUUUAGUUGAACCUCCUCCUCUGAACGUCUUCGUUCAACCCCUUCUUCUGACCAUUACAGUUGGACCCCCUCUUCUGGACGUUGCGGUUCGACCUCCUCUUCUGAAAGUUUUGGUUUAACCACCUCCUCUGAAAGUUCCGUUUCGACUCCCUCCUUUAAACCUUCUAAUUCAUCCGCCUCUUCUGGACGUUUCAGUCCAACCCCCUGCUGUGCAAGUUUCAGUUCAACCACCUGUUGUGAAAGUUUCAGUUCAACCUCCUCUUCUGGACGUUCCACUUCAAGCCCCUCUUCCAAGCGUUACAGUUCAACCACCUCUACUGGAAGUUUCAGUUCAGCCCCCUCGUCUGAUCGUUUCAGUUUUACCACCUCAUCUUAAUGUUCCAGUUCCACCACCUCUUCUGAAUGUUCCAAUCGAACGUUCUUCUGAACUUUCCAAUUGAACUGCCUCUUCGGAACGUUUCAGUUCUACCCCCUCGUCUGAGGGUUCCCGUUCCACCGCCUCACCUGAAUGUUCCAGUUUCAUCUACAUACCGGACGUUUCGGGACCACUCAAUUUCCUGAACGUUUUCAGUUCACCCGCGGAAGCUGGCCGCUGCAUGGCACCUCCAUUCAGAAUAUGCGGCGAAUACCGACGCUCAUGAUGCUACGAGGGAUGUGGGUGGUUCGCGGCUGAACGUGCUGGUGGAAUCAUGGUAGCCAAGUCUCGAAAGACGGCGCUUCUGUCCAUGAAAAUGGCAUGGAACAGUCAACCGACGACUUACAGAGGGGAUCUUGCUGACCAGCAACAAUUCAACGGAGGAAUACUUACUCAUUUUUAAGUAUAAAUCACCCACAAUUGUUCUUCUCCCAAUGCAUUGCCAUCCUGUCUCACAGUGAAUGAGUCUUGCUGACCACACGAUCAAAUAAACGUGAAUUCGUGGGA